AAGAGAUACAUCGCUUAUUAAUAGAGCUGUACUGAAUUGAGGAUCUCCAUUGAAUUAAUAUACAGAAGAAGCAGCGUUCAGUUUUUCAGAGCAGAAAGUGGAGGAGCUGGUGCUUCAGAAGUUUGUGUUUUGCUGUUGACAUUUUUCUGCACAGCACAAGAAGGAAACUAUUACAAGAUGUGUAGAUGGAUCCUGUGAUUCCUCAGAAAUAUUGCUCUGUGAAGUAUGCCAGGCAUCACCGUGUUCAUCAUGUUGACCCAGUAGGCCAUGACUGAAAGACCUUUGUCUAGAUGGGUCAAGGAUCUUGAAAUCAUGAAUACCAGUGAGAAGAAUCUGCUUAUAAAAUAGAAUUAUAUGCAGGAGCGAGCCAGGACCAAGAAAGGAGCCAAAAGAUGAGGCAGAACCGGAGCAGAACAUCUCUCUGGAUCCAUGUUAACGUGACCUGACUGUC